GUUUGGUAAAAAUCCAGGAUAAUUUGAAAAACUUAUCAAAAUUUUAAAAAUAUAACCACAGAGCGAAUAUUUGUGGACGCCGCUGGCGACGGAAUUAUUAGGUUGGUUCGCUAUGUCUCGUUUUUGCGACAAAAACGCAGGCUCGACGAAAAGGAAAAGAAUGUCAACAUUGAAAGUAAAACAAAAGGGAUGGACCAUUUAGUUGACUUUUUCAAUCCACAAAAAGAUCAUUCUUAUACAGGUAGAAACGAUGAUAAAAUUUUGUUGGAGGUAUAUAAGUUUAAGUUUGGAGGUCUUGAAGAACUCAUAAAAACACGGAAAUAUGAAAAUG
rnacentral:lncRNA from 1 species